AGCCUAAAAAAGAUAAGGAAAAAACGUCAGAGAAAAUUGAAAGAAGAAUCCGAUUUAUAUGUGUAUUGAUAAUAAAGAAGGAAACUUCCCUAUUUGUUUGAUUGUGGCUAAUGAUAAAAAAAAAGAAAAAAAAAAAACUAAGAAAAAAUAAUAAUUACAACGUUGUAAUUCAGUCGAAUGAGUUGGAAGAAAAAAUUGUCUAAGUUUAUGAAUAUUUCAAGAAAAUAAAUGACGUCUUUUUUAUAAUUUAUAUAAAAUAUCAGAUCCAAUUGCAUUUGAUAUAUAGAUCUGCAUAUAACAUAUAUUCUUGUCCUAUGUUUGAUCCAAUUACUCAUACAUAUGAAAAAUAUUCUUGUUCCAUGUAUGAUAUCGAUAUUACGAUGAUAUAACGAGCAAGAACAUAACGAAUGCAUACUUUCACUUUUAACAACACAUAAUAGCGAUGGACUUUCCAAGAAAAUAAUGAGAAAUAUGUAUUGAAAGGAGAUAAUGAUUCUAUUGGUGACUAAAAUAUCUAUACAUAGCGACAAAUGUGGAAUUUACACAAUUGUUAUACUGGACAUUGGAUAAUUAAGUAUAUAUAUAUAUAUAUACAUAUCGAACAGAGUAUGGUCGACAUCGUGCAAAGAAUUCACAAGUAAUCGAAGGUACAAACGUCCUCGACAUUAGUAAUAAUUCGGCCUUCGACGUCAUCCGACGGGCCUGAAUAGAAAUUGAAUGUAAUUCUUGAAAGGAAACAAGAUACGUUAUACGUUCAAUAUCAUCCUCUUAACCAACCUUUAAGUCAAAUAAAUGUAUCUGUGCGUAUAACAGGUACGUUGCCUAUAUAUACAUAUGUGUCAUACACAUAUGCAUGUUAUCGAAUUGAUACGAAAUGAGGAUUGAUAUCCGCAAUAACGUUAAAAUAAAAAAGAGAAUAACGUGUCGAUGACGAAAAGAAUGAAAUUCCAGCAUAACCGGACCUAAUUUUCGCGACGUGAAGGAUUACGCAAGUCUUUUCGAGUUACGAACGCAAAGCUUUGUAAAUCAUAAAUAUCUUAUAAGUAGUAUUACGAGGAAAGAGUUCUAAUUGAAAUGACAACAGCAUCUUUAAUCAUCAUUUUUUUUUGUUCGUUUUUUUUUAUUUUUUUAUUUU